rnacentral:rRNA from 1 species
AUUGAACGCUGGCGGCAGGCCUAACACAUGCAAGUCGAGCGGAUGAAGGGAGCUUGCUCCUGGAUUCAGCGGCGGACGGGUGAGUAAUGCCUAGGAAUCUGCCCGGUAGUGGGGGAUAACGUCCGGAAACGGGCGCUAAUACCGCAUACGUCCUGAGGGAGAAAGUGGGGGAUCUUCGGACCUCACGCUAUCAGAUGAGCCUAGGUCGGAUUAGCUAGUUGGUGGGGUAAAGGCCUACCAAGGCGACGAUCCGUAACUGGUCUGAGAGGAUGAUCAGUCACACUGGAACUGAGACACGGUCCAGACUCCUACGGGAUGCAGCAGUGGGGAAUAUUGGACAAUGGGCGAAAGCCUGAUCCAGCCAUGCCGCGUGUGUGAAGAAGGUCUUCGGAUUGUAAAGCACUUUAAGUUGGGAGGAAGGGCAGUAAGUUAAUACCUUGCUGUUUUGACGUUACCAACAGAAUAAGCACCGGCUAACUUCGUG